rnacentral:rRNA from 1 species
GAUGAACGCUGGCGGCAUGCCUAACACAUGCAAGUCGGACGGGAAGUGGUGUUUCCAGUGCCGAACGGGUGAGUAACGCGUAAGAACCUGCCCUUGGGAGGGGAACAACAGCUGGAAACGGUGGCUAAUACCCCGUAGGCCUAGGGGCAAAAGGAGGAAUCCGCCUGAAGGGGGGCUCGCGUCUGAUUAUCUUGUUGGGGAGGGAUAAGCUUACAAAGGCGAUGAGCAGGAUCUGGUCCGAGAGGGUGAGCACCCACACAGGGAGUGAGACACGGCGCAGAGACUCCUGCGAGGCGGAGGAGUGGAGAAUACUGCAAUGUGCGAGAGAGUGAGGGAGAGAUGCGCCGUGGAGGUGGUGGGGGUAUGGGUGGUGAAAUUCUUUUCUACGAGAAGAAGUAAUGACGGUACCUGGGGAAUAAGCACCGGCUAACUCCGUG